UACGAAGGGGGCGAGCGUUGUUCGGAUUUACUGGGCGUAAAGGGCGCGCAGGCGGCUCAUUUUGUCAGGCGUGAAAGCCCCGGGCUUAACCUGGGAGGUGCGUUUGAUACGGAUGGGCUAGAGUUCGGGAGAGGAGAGUGGAAUUCCUGGUGUAGCGGUGAAAUGCGCAGAUAUCAGGAAGAACACCCGUGGCGAAAGCGGCUCUCUGGAACGGUACUGACGCUGAGACGCGAAAGCGUGGGGAGCGAACAGG
rnacentral:rRNA from 1 species